rnacentral:lncRNA from 10 species
GGCUGUUUAUUUCUCCAUAGGUCGAGCGCUUGCUCUGUGCAGGGUGGGGUUCUAACGGCAAAGCAGCGAGCAGCUUCUCCUGGAACUUACAUCCUACAGUGUGUGCGUGGGAUACACAAUAAGCAUAGAGAAUAAGUAGAUUCUAUGAGAGGCUGCAUAGCAAAAUGGCGUCUGCAGCCAGAUUUACUGGGUUCGAAUCCCAGCGUUGCCACUUACUAGCUGUGUUACCCUGGACAGACUUCACCUCUCUGUGCGGUACUUUCCUCCUUAGUAAAAUGAGGGUCAUACUAGUGCCUGUGUCAGCGUUGGCGUGAGAAUUCUUCUUAUUACUUUUUUUUUAGAGACAAGGUAUUGCUCUGUCACCCAGGCUGAAGUGCAGUGCCACAAUCAUAGCUCAUUGCAACUUCGACCUCCUGGCCUCCAGCAAUCCUCCUGCCUCCGCCUCCCAAAGUGCUGGGAUUACAGGCGUGAGCCACCGAGCCCAGCCUGGCGUGAUAGUGUCUCCUAUUCAGUAGGUGCUAUAUAGUUGUUUAAUGAAACAUACAUAGAAUCCUAGCAUGUAGCUGGGUGCAGUGGCUCACGCCUGUAAGUCUGAGCUCUUUGGAAGGCUAAGACAGGAGGAUCGCUUGAGCCCUGGAGUUU